AACGAACGCUGGCGGCAGGCUUAACACAUGCAAGUCGAACGCAUCCUUCGGGGUGAGUGGCAGACGGGUGAGUAACGCGUGGGAACGUGCCCUUCAGUUCGGAAUAACCCAGGGAAACUUGGGCUAAUACCGGAUACGUGCGAGAGCAGAAAGAUUUAUCGCUGAAGGAUCGGCCCGCGUCUGAUUAGCUAGUUGGUAGGGUAAUGGCCUACCAAGGCGACGAUCAGUAGCUGGUCUGAGAGGAUGAUCAGCCACAUUGGGACUGAGACACGGCCCAAACUCCUACGGGAGGCAGCAGUGGGGAAUAUUGGACAAUGGGCGCAAGCCUGAUCCAGCCAUGCCGCGUGAGUGAUGACGGCCUUAGGGUUGUAAAGCUCUUUCAGCGGGGACGAUAAUGACGGUACCCGCAGAAGAAGCCCCGGCUAACUUCGUGCCAGCCGCCGCCGUAACAC
rnacentral:rRNA from 1 species